rnacentral:rRNA from 1 species
GACGAACGCUGGCGGCGUGCUUAACACAUGCAAGUCGAACGGAAAGGCCCUGCUUUUGUGGGGUGCUCGAGUGGCGAACGGGUGGGUAACACGUGAGUAACCUGCCCUUGACUUUGGGAUAACUUCAGGAAACUGGGGCUAAUAACGGAUAGGAGCUCCUGCUGCAUGGUGGGGGUUGGAAAGUUUCGGCGGUUGGGGAUGGACUCGCGGCUUAUCAGCUUGUUGGUGGGGUAGUGGCUUACCAAGGCUUUGACGGGUAGCCGGCCUGAGAGGGUGACCGGCCACAUUGGGACUGAGAUACGGCCCAGACUCCUACGGGAGGCAGCAGUGGGGAAUAUUGCACAAUGGGCGGAAGCCUGAUGCAGCAACGCCGCGUGCGGGAUGACGGCCUUCGGGUUGUAAACCGCUUUCGCCUGUGACGAAGCGUGAGUGACGGUAAUGGGUAGAGAAGCACCGGCUAACUACGUG